AAGAGGCGGCUGCCAUUGCUGCAGAAUGAUUGGCUAGCGGGUAGGGAUGUGGAGAGUUUAGGGCUUAGUGAAUGCAAGAGAUUGGUGAAAGAGUGUGUUUUGUCUGACUGGCAAGUCAGAUGGGACACUAGCGUGAAUGGGCGUGUCACUCAUCGGUUUAUACGGGAGGUUACAUUUGCCGGCAGCCGACCAGACUUUGGGUUCGGCCUGAGUCUUGGAUUCCUGUUGACUGGUCACGGUUCCCUCAAUGCAUUCCUGCAUUCGAGGAACCUUUAUGACAGUCCAGAAUGCCGUUGUGGCUCGGCUGCUGAGACAUGGGAGCAUGUUCUCUGUGAGUGCACAAGGUAUGCAGAUUUUCGAGAUCUGAGGGGGAUGGGUAUAAGUGAGGUUAGUGGCGGGUUUGACGUAAGUCAAUCACUCUCCACUAGUGAUAGGGUUAGAAGAAUGAGUGAGUUUGCUAGAGCUGCAUUUUCCAGGCGACGUUUGCAAUUGCAGGAAGGAAUUGUAUGAAUGAUGAUGGAUGGUAGAUGUGAGAAUGUGGGGGUACGAAUGUGGGGGUGUUUCUGAAUGGUAAUUUUUGUUGAACAUUGUGUUGUGAUGGGGCUACCAACCCUUAACUGUUUUGGAGUUUAAAUUGGAAGUGCCCUUCUGGUACGAGGCCUGACCGGAGGCUUUUAAUCUGGUACCACGGGUAACCAGGAGCCCACGGAACUUGUUCCGUCCUGGUUAGUUGGUGCGGCCUUUCAGGGAGUAUCGUGGUGGUUGUGGUUUAACACCCAAAUGCGGGUAGAGCAUCGCUCGACGUGGAGUUGCGUCAUACAACCGGGUUCCGUGACCCAGAUUACGGAAGAGGCUUAGAUAGUCCUCGUGCCAUACCAAGGUAGAAGUCACAACCAAACAGUCGUGUCUUUAAUUGGUACCUGCGGAAUUGUUCCAAGGGGGCGGUGAUUGACGCUUGAAUUAAUCCUAUACUAGGAACCGUGAGGUUAAGCCAUCGCGGCAGGUGCUCACGUUAAGCCCACUGACUUUCAUGUCCCUAUCUACUAUCUAGCGAAACCACAGCCAAGGGAACGGGCUUGGAAUAAUUAGCGGGGAAAGAAGACCCUUUUGAGCUUGACUCUAAUCUGGCAGUGUAAGGAGACAUAAGAGGUGUAGAAUAAGUGGGAGAUAUUAGACUUCGGUUUGGUAUCGACAAUGAAAUACCACUACUCUUAUUGUUUCCUUACUUACUUGAUUAAAUGGAACGUGUAUCAUUUCCUAGCCAUUAUACGGAUAUAAUUAUUAUGUCUUAUGGUAUUGGGUUUUGAUGCAAGCUUCUUGAUCAAAGUAUCACGAGUUUGUUAUAUAAUCGCAAACAAAUUCUUUAAUGAGAGAAUGCAUUUAUGUAUUAUUGAUUUAAAAAUUUGGUAUAACUCCAAUUACUCAGGUAUGAUCCAAUUCAAGGACAUUGCCAGGUAGGGAGUUUGACUGGGGCGGUACAUCUCUCAAAUAAUAACGGAGGUGUCCCAAGGCCAGCUCAGUGCGGACAGAAACCACACAUAGAGCAAAAGGGCAAAUGCUGACUUGAUCUCGGUGUUCAGUACACACAGGGACAGCAAAAGCUCGGCCUAUCGAUCCUUUUGGUUUAAAGAG
rnacentral:ncRNA from 1 species